AGGACGAACGCUGGCGGCGUGCUUAACACAUGCAAGUCGAGCGGAAAGGCCCUUCGGGGUACUCGAGCGGCGAACGGGUGAGUAACACGUGAGCAACCUGCCCCUGGCCCUGGGAUAGCCUCCGGAAACGGGGAUUAAUACCGGACAUGACCUGCUGCCGCAUGGUGGCGGGUGGAAAGUUUUUCGGCCAGGGUGGGGCUCGCGGCCUAUCAGCUUGUUGGGGGGGUGACGGCCCACCAAGGCGACGACGGGUAGCCGGCCUGAGAGGGCGACCGGCCACACUGGGACUGAGACACGGCCCAGACUCCUACGGGAGGCAGCAGUGGGGAAUAUUGCGCAAUGGGCGGAAGCCUGACGCAGCGACGCCGCGUGCGGGAUGAAGGCCUUCGGGUUGUAAACCGCUUUCACCAGGGGCGAAGCGAGAGUGACGGUACCUGGGGAAGAGCGCCGGCUAACUACGUGCCAGCAGCCGC
rnacentral:rRNA from 1 species